rnacentral:rRNA from 1 species
UACGGAGGGUGCGAGCGUUGUCCGGAAUCACUGGGCGUAAAGGGCGCGUAGGCGGCCUGAUAAGUAGGGGGUGAAAUCUUGCGGCUUAACCGCAAGGCUGCCUUCUAAACUGUCAGGCUAGAGCACAGUAGAGGCAGGUGGAAUUCCCGGUGUAGCGGUGGAAUGCGUAGAGAUCGGGGAGAACAUCAGUGGCGAAGGCGGCCUGCUGGGCUGUUGCUGACGCUGAGGCGCGACAGCGUGGGGAGCAAACAGG